UCAAACUGCUGUGGUUCCCGUCUCUGGAUGAAUAAUGUGGAAGUACAGAGAGAAGGAAUGAAUCCAUGAAGCACGGAGUGACUUGGAAUGUGGGGGAGUUCUGGAACUUGGCAACAGAAGGGCCGGGAGGAGGCUGCUAGCAAUGGCUACGGGGAUGAGAAGGGAUGGAGAAGGGGUCACACUUGAAGUUAAGCACUUGAACCUAAGCACCAGAACCCAGUUCCAGGAUUUCCUCCACCUACUGAGCAUCCUGCUGAUAUAUCAAGGGGAUAGGACAAUAAGAUUUACUCCUGGCUCCUAGACAACAUCAGCGUAUUUUCAUAGUGGUCCCAAGCUCCCCAGGGUGAUCAGAAGACCAGGCCUCC
rnacentral:lncRNA from 1 species